CCUACGGGAGGCAGCAGUGAGGAAUAUUGGUCAAUGGCCGGAAGGCUGAACCAGCCAUGCCGCGUGAAGGGCAGGGCCCUAUGGGCGUUAAACUUCUUUUGUGCGGGAGCAAUAAUGGUCACGUGUGGCCAGACGAGAGUACCGUACGAAUAAGCAUCGGCUAACUACGUGCCAGCAGCCGCGGUAAUACGUAGGGGGCAAGCGUUAUCCGGAUUUACUGGGGGUAAAGGGGGCGCAGACGGCAAUGCAAGCCAGGAGUGAAAGCCCGGGGCCCAACCCCGGGACUGCUCUUGGAACUGCAUUGCUGGAGUACAGGAGGGGCAGGCGGAAUUCCUAGUGUAGCGGUGAAAUGCGUAGAUAUUAGGAGGAACACCGGUGGCGAAGGCGGCCUGCUGGACUGUGACUGACGUUGAGGCCCGAAGGCGUGGGGAGCAAACAGGAUUAGAUACCCCAGUAGUC
rnacentral:rRNA from 1 species